AGGACUCUAGUAAACAAUUACAUGGCGCCGUCAGCGCUAAAUUACAGGUACAACCCCUGUGAGACCUA